rnacentral:rRNA from 1 species
GACGAACGCUGGCGGCGUGCCUAACACAUGCAAGUCGAACGGGACUUGAGGGGCUUGCUCCUUAAGUUUAGUGGCGAACGGGUGAGUAACGCGUGAGGAACCUACCUUCCAGUGGGGGACAACAGUUGGAAACGACUGCUAAUACCGCAUGAUGCAGCGAGACCGCAUGGUUUUGCUGUCAAAGCUUUAUGCGCUGGAAGAUGGCCUCGCGUCUGAUUAGCUGGUUGGCGGGGUAAAGGCCCACCAAGGCGACGAUCGGUAGCUGGUCUGAGAUGAUGAUCAGCCACACUGGGACUGAGACACGGACCAGACUACUACGGGAGGCAGCAGUGGGGAAUAUUGCGCAAUGGGCGAAAGCCUGACGCAGCAACGCCGCGUGGGUGCUGAAGGCCUUCGGGUCGUAAAGCCCUGUCAGGUGGGAAGAACCCUCUCGCAAGAGGGGCUGACGGUACCACCGAAGGAAGCACCGGCUAACUCCGUGCCAGCAGCCGCAGUAACAC